UUAGGUGUUUUGUUUUUUUUUUUUUUUGUCACAGAAAUACGGAUGCACAUCACAGCAAGUGAACUGCUCUUUCAAUGUGGUGAUUAUGAAGCUUUUUUUGAUGUUGGUCCUCUUAUUUGAUUGAGGAGACUAUAAAAGUCAUACGGUGUAACUGCAUUGUUUCCGCUGUCAAUUUCUUUAGUUAAACUGCAAACUCUCUGCAUGAUUGGAGACUGUAAAAGGGUCAGAGG
rnacentral:lncRNA from 1 species